rnacentral:rRNA from 1 species
UACGGAAGGCAGCAGUGGGGAAUAUUGCACAAUGGGCGCAAGCCUGAUGCAGCUAUGCCGCGUGUAUGAAGAAGGCCUUCGGGUUGUAAAGUACUUUCAGUCGUGAGGAAGGUGUUAAGGUUAAUAACCUUAGCAAUUGACGUUAGCGACAGAAGAAGCACCGGCUAACUCCGUGCCAGCAGCCGCGGUAAUACGGAGGGUGCGAGCGUUAAUCGGAAUUACUGGGCGUAAAGGGCACGCAGGCGGUUAAUUAAGUUGGAUGUGAAAUCCCCGGGCUUAACCUGGGAAUGGCAUUCAAGACUGGUUAGCUAGAGUCUUGUAGAGGGGGUAGAAUUCCAUGUGUAGCGGUGAAAUGCGUAGAGAUGUGGAGGAAUACCGGGUGGCGAAGGCGGCCCCUGGGACAAAGACUGACGCUCAUGUGCGAAAGCGUGGGGAGCGAAACAGGGAUUAGAUACC